AUAAAUAACAUGAUUACAUCUCAAGCUACAUUUGGGUUACAUUUAAUUUUACCUCCCACUAUAUUCUAGGUGUAUACCACCAAAGACUGCAGUUUAGUUAGGUUCUAAGGUAAGACUUAAGGAAGUCAUCUUUACUUAGGGAACGAUUCUAAUAUAGGUAGAUAGCCUAAAUUGCUUAUUAUCUUUUGUUAAUUAGUAAAUAUGGUGGGAGUCAAAAUAUUUUAUAAACCAAGUUCUUGCUUCAUCAGUGCAUAUAUCAUGGGAGCACUGGAAGAUGCUUUUAUUCACUGAUUUUUACAGAAGGAAAUUUCUCAGCUCAAGGAGGAAGAUGUCUGGUGAUGAUGGCUAGAGGAAUAUCUCAUAACAAACCUGUUGAGCCAAGGAACAGAGGUGACUAGGAGCAGGUGUGUUCCAGCCCAGUGGCUUAAAAUCAAAUGGAAAUUAAAAGGUGAGAAUGAAGAUAGUUACUGAGAUCCCACCAAGGAUUUCUCUAAUGUUCAAGUUAAGGUAGAUGGGCAAAGAGUGGAAAGGGAUGAAUGGAAAAUAGGAAAUCUGUAUUUUGGCAAGAUCUCAUGUGACUGAAAGACAAGUCAAGGCUGCAAAUGUACAAUGGUCUGUCAUUAAAAAAAUGUUUUUACUGUAAUGAUUUGCUUUCCAGGGGGACUUAAAGCAGUUAUUGAACAAAUGUGGUAAGAGUAAAGACUGACCUUCUGAAGACCUGUUUAGUUUGGUGUUCAAGAGAACCUACCAAGGUUAUAUUACACAGCUACUAAUAUCUAAUUCCAUGACACCAAAAGUCAUAAACUAAAUUAUCAGAAGUCA